GACUGCAGGCUGCAACUCGCCUGCACGAAGUCGGAAUUGCUAGUAAUCGUAGGUCAGCAUACUACGGUGAAUACGUUCCCGGGCCUUGUACACACCGCCCGUCAAACCAUGAGAGUUGGCAACACCGAAGUCGGUAGUCUAACCGCAAGGAGGACGCCGCCGAAGGUGGGGUUGAUGAUUAGGGUUAAGUCGUAACAAGGUAGC
rnacentral:rRNA from 1 species